UUCCGGUUGAUCCCGCCGGACCCGACUGCUAUCAGAGUGGGACUAAGCCAUGCGAGUUAACGUAGCAAUACGUAGCAUACGGCUCAGUAACACGUAGUCAACAUGCCCAGGGGACGUGGAUAACCUCGGGAAACUGAGGAUAAACCGCGAUAGGCCAUGAUUUCUGGAAUGAUUCAUGGCCGAAACCUACAUGGCCCCUGGAUUGGACUGCGGCCGAUCAGGCUGUUGGUGAGGUAAUGGCCCACCAAACCUGUUACCGGUACGGGCUCUGAGAGGAGGAGCCCGGAGAUGGGCACUGAGACAAGGGCCCAGGCCCUAUGGGGCGCAGCAGGCGCGAAACCCUCUGCAUAGGCUAAAGCCUGA
rnacentral:rRNA from 1 species